AGCUCCAAUAGCGUAUAUUAAUGUUGUUGCAGUUAAAACGCUCGUAGUCGGAUUUCGGGGCGGGGUUGCCGGUCUGCCGUUGGGUAUGCACUGGUGACCGCGUCCUUCCUUCCGGAGACCGUUCCUACUCUUAACUGAGCGGGGUCGGGAGACGGAUCUUUUACUUUGAAAAAAUCAGAGUGUUUCAAGCAGGCAUAUCGCUUUUGCAUGGAUUAGCAUGGGAUAAUGAAAUAGGACUUUGGUGCUAUUUUGUUGGUUUCGAACACCGAAGUAAUGAUUAACAGGGACAGUCAGGGGCACUAAUAUUCCGUUGAGAGAGGUGAAAUUCUUAGACCAGCGGAAGAUUAACCACUGCGAAAGCAUUUGCCAGGGAUGUUUUCACUGAUCAAGAACGAAGUUAG
rnacentral:rRNA from 1 species